rnacentral:rRNA from 1 species
AACGAACGCUGGCGGCAUGCCUAACACAUGCAAGUCGAACGAGACCUUCGGGUCUAGUGGCGCACGGGUGCGUAACGCGUGGGAACCUGCCCUUAGGUUCGGAAUAACUCCCCGAAAGGGGUGCUAAUACCGGAUAAUGUCUUCGGACCAAAGAUUUAUCGCCUUUGGAUGGGCCCGCGUUGGAUUAGCUAGUUGGUAGGGUAAAAGCCUACCAAGGCGAGGAUCCAUAGCUGGUCUGAGAGGAUGAGCAGCCACACUGGGACUGAGACACGGCCCAGACUCCGACGGGAGGCAGCAGUGGGGAAUAUUGGACGAUGGGCGAAAGCCUGAUCCAGCAAUGCCGCGUGAGUGAUGAAGGCCGUAGGGUUGUAAAGCUCUUUUACCCGGGAUGAUAAUGACAGUACCGGGAGAAUAAGCUCCGGCUAACUCCGUG